rnacentral:rRNA from 1 species
CUGGCUCAGGACGAACGAUGGGGCGUGCCUAUUACGCAAGUCGAGCGGACCUCUUCGGAUGUCACGGCGACGGAGUAACACGUGGGCAACCUCCAGUAAGACNGGGAUAACUCCGGGAAACCGGAGCUUAAUACCGGAUACUAUUCAAACCGCNUGGUUUGAAAUUCAAAGACGGUUUCGGCUGUCACUUACAGUGGGCCCGCGGCGCAUAGCUAGUUGGUGAGGUAAGGCUCACCAAGGCAACGAUGCGUAGCCGCCUGAGAGGGUGAUCGGCCACACUGGGAUUGAGACACGGCCCGACUCCUACGGAGGCAGCAGUAGGAAUCUUCCGCAAUGGACGAAAGUCUGACGGAGCAACGCCCGCGUGAUGAUGAAGGUUUGGUGUAAAACUCUGUGUCAGGAAGAACAAGCGCCGGAGUAAC